rnacentral:miRNA from 1 species
GGCACCUGCGUGUGUGUGUGUGUGUGUGUGUGUGUGUGUGUGUGUGUGUGUGGAGGUGGAGCUGGGGGAAGAGGCCAUACCCCCCCACCCA